CCCAUUUGUAAAAAUGAGCAAUGAAAACAAGGAACUUUUCCUGUGGUCCUGAUUGAAAACAAGUUGUACAAUGUUUUACAUAAUAUUUUAAAAAUAAAAUGCUUAUGUUAAAUUCAACUGCAAUAUGAACAGUAUCUAUGAAUAAAAAUAGCCU